CCCCUUUGAGUCAGCAAAGGCUUCUGGGAGAAAUGGCUGACCGAGUCCCGGAGGCAAGAGUUGGGGAGCUUGUGUGCACCGUGCCUCCCACCCUGCCACUGUCUCUGCACAUCUCAUUGAAGAGGUGAAGAUCACCGCCUGUCUCCAGCUUUGCACAGAAAGGGAGCUGAGUAUGGCGCAUGAAACCAGCCCACAGGUUGUCACCAUAAGUCAAGCAAGAAAAUGAGCAAAGCCUCUCUGAGCAGAGGAGAUACCCUUUCAGCACCUCAGGACGCACGGAGAAACCUUGGGCCCGUGACACAGCUGGCACUUGUGUCUCUUUCCGUGGGAUGCUUCUGCCUCGGGAGAGGCAGAACUCCAUCUGAAACUCAGGCUGCAUGCUCUGUGCUCUCAUAAGCCUGAGUGCUCGAGUAUCACGCCCAUUUCACAGAUGAGAAACUGAGCCUGAAAAUCCAGCAUCUUUUCAGAAAAAUUAUUGAGUCCUUGCUUUGUGCCUGGGGCUGCUCUGGAACCUGGAGACACAUCAUGGGACAAGACAGACACACUUCCUGCCCUCCAGGGAGUCACACCCACCAGUAGAACCUGGCUCCCGGGGGCAUCCCACACACAACCACGGGAGGCAGGACCAGGCUUUGAGCAGGUUGAGGGAAGGGACUUCAUUCUGCAGCCUCCCUCCUGGGCCCACAUGAUUGGUGCCCAGACAGCACUGUGCACCAGAGCAGUGGCACUUGGCAGUUGACAUGGCAUCUCCAGGGUCCUUGGCACACAUGGAGAAGGUGAGUGGCUUGCAGCGAUCCUUCCUCCUCCAGACUUGUCACAACUCUAGGAGGCAACUUGAUUGUCCGCUCAGCAGAUGGGGAAGUCAAGGCUCAUAGAUAUGCAACGACUUGACCAGACCCCAUGGCAGGCAACCUCAGAACUCCACUCUCCUCUGCUCUGUUGACUGCUCUCCAUGAGCAUUACUCAGCGGAGUCCCUUCCCUCACCACCCAGGAGGCUGCCAGAAAGCUUCUGACAACAGAUGCCGUCCCAAAACACUGGCACGUGACCCAGCAAUUCCACUCCUUGGUAUCUACCCAGGAGAAAUGACAACUUGUCCACAUUAGGCCUUGAACACGGAUGUCAUAUCUGUGUUCAUUGUUCAUGAUAGCUAUGAAGUGGGCAUAGCCCAAUGUCCAUCAACUGGUGCAUGGAUAAACCAAUCGUGCCAUAUACACACCAUCAUGGACUAUUAUUCAGUCAUGAAAGAGAGUAUUGGCAUAUAUGAUCACAUGGAUGACCCUUGAAAAUGUACUCAGUGAAAGGUCUUGUCACAAAUGAUCACAUAUAUUCUUUCCUUUAUUUGAAAUACC